AAAUCUUAUUCAGUGAGCUCACUUCAGGAAAAAGACCCUCUUCAAAGAUACAUGGACCAACUCUAAGCAACACUGUAAGCCACUGGGAUUGAUCUUAAAUUGUUUGAAACACAAGCCUGAAACUGUACCGAGUGGUGGUGUUCCAUCAUCAUCAGAACCAAAAACUUCAAAGCCACCAGAAAAGAAAAGGAGGAAAUCAGAUGACAGGCAAAUCAUGCUGGACAAAAU